GACAUGUGGCAGGCAAGUUAAUCUUCAGUGGAAUAUGCAAAUAGGAUUUCUGAAUUUGGCAUGCAAAUGAAUUUGAGAGCUUCUGGGAGCAUCUCUUCCAAGAUUCUGGUAAGCCUUUCUUCCUGGGCGAAACUUAGCAGAGGAAGGUAUAGAGAAGACCUAAGAAAGACCAAGGAGAAUUUGUGUCACUAAAAUUUGAAGCUUUGAUUCCGAAAUUUUAUUCAGCCUGAGUUGGUCAUUUGACUUUUACUGCUAUCAACUUGGGAGUUAAGGUGGUUAUGGUAUGGGGGUGGGUUUUAGGGCAAUAUGUAUGAUGAAGACUGAAAAUCAAGUUUGCAGAAAGAAAACAAAACAA